CGCACGAGAAAGGGACUUCGGUCCUGAGUAAAGUGGCGCACGGGUGAGUAACACGUGAAUUAUCUACCUUCGAGUGGGGAAUAACUGGGAGAAAUCUCAGCUAAUACCGCAUAAUACCUACGGGUCAAAGCAGCAAUGCGCUUGAAGAGGAGUUCGCGGCAGAUUAGUUAGUUGGCGGGGUAAUGGCCCACCAAGACGAUGAUCUGUAUCCGGCCUGAGAGGGCGCACGGACACACUGGAACUGAAACACGGUCCAGACUCCUACGGGAGGCAGCAGUGGGGAAUUUUGCGCAAUGGGGGAAACCCUGACGCAGCAACGCCGCGUGGAGGAUGAAGUAUCUUGGUACGUAAACUCCUUUCGAUGGGGAAGAUAAUGACGGUACCCAUAGAAGAAGCCCCGGCUAACUUCGUGCCAGCAGCCGCGGUAAUACGAGGGGGGCAAGCGUUGUUCGGAAUUAUUGGGCGUAAAGGGUGCGUAGGCGGUUUGAUAAGUCUGAUGUGAAAUCUCUGGGCUCAACCCAGAGUCUGCAUUAGAAACUGUCGGGCUUGAGUAUGGGAGAGGUGAGUGGAAUUUCCGGUGUAGCGGU
rnacentral:rRNA from 1 species